UCACCGCAGCGUUGCUGAUCUGCGAUUACUAGCGACUCCGACUUCAUGGGGUCGAGUUGCAGACCCCAAUCCGAACUGAGACCGGCUUUUUGGGAUUAGCUCCACCUCACAGUAUCGCAACCCAUUGUACCGGCCAUUGUAGCAUGCGUGAAGCCCAAGACAUAAGGGGCAUGAUGAUUUGACGUCGUCCCCACCUUCCUCCGAGUUGACCCCGGCAGUCUCCCAUGAGUCCCCACCACUACGUGCUGGCAACAUGGAACGAGGGUUGCGCUCGUUGCGGGACUUAACCCAACAUCUCACGACACGAGCUGACGACAACCAUGCACCACCUGUGAACCUGCCCCAAAGGGGAAACCGUAUCUCUACGGCGGUCAGGAACAUGUCAAGCCUUGGUAAGGUUCUUCGCGUUGCAUCGAAUUAAUCCGCAUGCUCCGCCGCUUGUGCGGGCCCCCGUCAAUUCCUUUGAGUUUUAGCCUUGCGGCCGUACUCCCCAGGCGGGGCACUUAAUGCGUUAGCUACGGCGCGGAAAACGUGGAAUGUCCCCCACACCUAGUGCCCAACGUUUACGGCAUGGACUACCAGGGUAUCUAAUCCUGUUCGCUCCCCAUGCUUUCGCUCCUCAGCGUCAGUUACAGCCCAGAGACCUGCCUUCGCCAUCGGUGUUCCUCCUGAUAUCUGCGCAUUUCACCGCUACACCAGGAAUUCCAGUCUCCCCUACUG
rnacentral:rRNA from 1 species